rnacentral:sRNA from 1 species
AGCACACGGACCACUUCCUCCCACACGGUGACCACUAACACUGUCCCCAUGACUCCUCCUACAACUAAGAGCAACCCCACCUCAACUCCUAUUGUGCCAACAACCACAACAUGCUUUGGAGAUCAGUGCCAGACUACGGCCUCUCGCUGCAAGAAUGGAGGCACCUUGGAUGGGCUCAAGUGCCAGUGUCCCAACCUCUAUUACGGGGAGUUGUGUGAGGAGGUGGUCAGCAGCAUUGACAUAGGUGAGUGCAACCCAGGCCUUCCCCCACCCCAUGCCCUGGGACCCGACCUCCAUACAGGCACCAGUCCCUGCCCCACCUUGAUGUGAGGCCAGGAAUAGGGCCUCUUCUGGGCUGUGGUGUUUUUUGUUUUGUAUUGUUUUGUUUGUUUUGUUUCCACCCAGUGCU